CCUCCUUUUUAGGGAGACCUACUGGAAUUAAUGUCAAAACCUAAACAAAAGCAUUAAUCAUCCAGCAAUCCCAAGGUCGUGCGAGAGAAAAAGGCAACUUUCCAACUAUACUUAUGGUUCGUUUAUUUUCUUUGAUGAGUUAAAAGCUAGUUAAAAGCUUCCUGACUUCACUUAAAAAAGAAACAAGUAAAAAAGAAACAAGAGCGAGAGCAACCCCAAAAGGGCUAUUAGCUCAGGUGGUUAGAGCGCACCCCUGAUAAGGGUGAGGUCCCUGGUUCAAAUCCAGGAUGGCCCAGUCAAACCCACAAAAUUUAGUUGGUUUAACUAGAGUUUUUUCAAGUCAACUUUUGAAGUACAAUAGUUAAGUCAAAGUCAAAAAAGGGGGUAUAGCUCAGUUGGUAGAGCGCUGCCCUUGCAAGGCAGAUGUCAGCGGUUCGAGUCCGCUUACCUCCAGAGUGGGGUUGAAAAAAAACGAAAAAACUUGAAUUCAGCAACUAGACCUGCAAGCUUGAUGUCACUAUCAAAGCAACUCAAGUCAGGAUGCUGGGGUCAAGACUCCAGUAAAAAACCAAAAAUCGAACCUUGAAAACUGCAUAGUCAAAAGUCAAUCAAAGUCAAAAAGAGUAACUUUGAGUGUGAAGCGUUAAUUGCCUGGUUGAGAAAUCAUCAAGCAAUUAAAGCCAAGCAAAAAAUUAACUGACAGUUAAAAACUGAUUAACCUGAAAUUUAUUUCAAGUUAAUCCAGAACCAAAAUGGUCAGUUCAGGUAAAGGUUAAAGGUGAAAAUGACCACAUAACACCUUGAACAAGAAACAAAAAGUGGUCAAGCUAAAAAGGGCUAACGGUGGAUACCUAGGCACACAGAG
rnacentral:tRNA from 1 species